AGAGCUGGCUAGACAGUCGCUGUAGUUACUACAGAGGAAAGUCCGGGCUCCAUCGGGCAGAGUGCCAGGUAAUGCCUGGGAGGCGCAAGCCUACGGAAAGUGCCACAGAAAAUAGACCGCCUAUCAACUAUAGUUUCGUCUUGUAGAUGCGAUUAUACGCGAGGUAAGGGUGAAAAGGUGUGGUAAAAGCACACCGCAUCAUUGGUAACAGUGCUGGCAGGGCAAACCCCACUCGGAGCAAGACCAAAUAGGGACCUUUAGGCGUGGCCCACGCUAGGUUCGGGUAGGUCGCUUGAGGUGUAUGGUGACGUAUAUCCUAGAUGAAUGACUGUCCACGACAGAACCCGGCUUAUCGGCCAGCUCUCUAU
rnacentral:RNase_P_RNA from 1 species